rnacentral:misc_RNA from 1 species
AAGUCGUAACAAGGUAUCCGUAGGUGAACCUGCGGAUGGAUCAUUACUAAAUCUGUCGUGUGUAUGACUCUGCAUUUUUAAGUGCGUCUCAUUCCACUUCAAACUACUCAUCAUUGUGAACUGUUGCUAAUGCGUAUGCAGUUACCUUUUUUGGGUGACGCGUGCCAUUAGUCUUUACUAAACUAAAACUUUUAAACUAAAGAUCUCUGCACAACCUCUGCGUUGUGUCAACUAAAAACUAAAACUUUUAGCAACGGAUCUCUAGGCUCUC